AUUGAACGCUGGCGGCAUGCCUUACACAUGCAAGUCGAACGGUAACGCGGGGCAACCUGGCGACGAGUGGCGAACGGGUGAGUAACGCAUCGGAACGUGCCCAAUAGUGGGGGAUAGCCCGGCGAAAGCCGGAUUAAUACCGCAUACGACCUACGGGUGAAAGCAGGGGAUCGCAAGACCUUGCGCUAAUGGAGCGGCCGAUGGCAGAUUAGGUUGUUGGUGGGGUAAAAGCCCACCAAGCCGACGAUCUUUAGCUGGGCUGGGAGGACGACCAGCCACACUGGGACUGAGACACGGCCCAGACUCCUACGGGGGGCGGCAGUGGGGAAUUUUGGACAAUGGGCGCAAGCCUGAUCCAGCAAUGCCGCGUGCAGGAAGAAGGCCUUCGGGUUGUAAACUGCUUUUGUACGGAACGAAACGGUCUGGGUUAAUACCCUGGGCUAAUGACGGUACCGUAAGAAUAAGCACCGGCUAACUACGUGCCAGCCGCCGCAGUAAGAC
rnacentral:rRNA from 1 species